GUGCGACACUGCGCGGACGAAGGAAAAGGAAGUUCUUGAGAAAGGAACUGAGUAAGGACUAUAGUGAGAAAAGACUGGAGGGCGACACGUCUCCUUGACUCCCACACUUGAGACCUACGGGGAAAACUCACCUUUUCUGAGCUUCGGUUUCUUCAGGUGGUUAAGAGAAAUGAAUGCAAAUGAAAACGGAAGCAAUUUUAAAGUCCACUGUAGACAAUAGGUUUUGUUGUUUUGUAGGCAUUCCUUACCCUCCCUUGGGACAUAAACCAGCCAGUCAGACAACCCACUCCUUCUCCCAAGUUGCCAGCCUGAAAUCAUCAGAUCUCAGACAAAGUCAGUUUGGAAAGAAAAAAAAAAAAAAACAAUUAAAA